AAUCGGGUAGUUCAAUUGGUAGAACAUCACACUGAUAAUGUGAAGGUUGUGGGUUCGAGUCCCAUCCCGAUUA
rnacentral:tRNA from 5 species